AAUAGCUGUGGCAAAACUGAGGCAACUUGAAACCCUCAUAUUCACUGUGGAGCUCCCACUGAUACAUGGCCCAGUCACCUCAAGAAAAGCUUGACUCGCCAGGCCCUGAAGUGAUUCCGCGUGACUGCGGAAGCACAGAUUUACAGAGGGUUCCUGCUCGGAGGCUGACAGGUCAGACCCACUGACCAAAUGAUUCAGAGAGACUGCUUAUGGUAAAGAGGGACAUAUAUUGAGCUGAGGCCCAAGGAAUGCCGAUGGUCUCUCUGUUCAGAUCUUAAGAAAGGCCAUCGGGCCUUCUAAAGCCCUUCCCGAUUUCCAUACAAUGACCUGGAACACCGCACAGCUGUUUUUCCGCCAAGAAAACGAAAACAGGAAACCUGCGCUCGACAACUUCACACUGAGACUCGAAAGUACCAUAAUUAUAUCUUGACACAGGUGGGAGAACUGACUUACCAGCUUCGAUGCAUUCCGGCUUCAGGCAGUACUCCUGUUUGGCUUGGAGACUUAAGAAACCUUGACUCACUGAAAAAACAGACCAAAAUAAAGAAAUGACUGGCUGGUAGCAGAGCACCAUCAGAUUUUUCUGUAACCAGUGGAAAUGACCUCAGAAUGCAGUGGAGUCAUCCACAUAUCGGCAGCAUGAGAAGAACCAUAAAGUGGGGGCUCAGCAUACUAUGGCCCAUGGGGCCAAGUCCAGUCUCCUGCCAGUUUCUGUACAGCCUGUGAGCUAAAAAUGAUUUUUAUGCGUUUUAAUGGUUGGAAAAAACCACAAGAAGAAUAUUUCAUAAAAUGAUCUGAAAUUCAAAUUUCAAUGUUCAGAAAUCAAAUUAUAUCAGAACACAGUCA